rnacentral:rRNA from 1 species
AUUGAACGCUGGCGGCAUGCCUAACACAUGCAAGUCGAACGAGUGGCGGACGGGUGAGUAACACGUGGGAACCUACCCAUCAGAGGGGGAUAACACUUGGAAACAGGUGCUAAUACCGCAUACUGAUGGAUGGACCCGCGUUGCAUUAGCUAGUUGGUGAGGUACAGGCUAACCUAGGCUAAGAACGCUAGGGGGGCGGAGAGGAUGAGCGGCCACACUGGAACGGAGACACGGUCCAGACUCCUACGGGAGGCAGCAGUGGGGAAUAUUGCACAAUGGGCGCAAGCCUGAUGCAUCCAUGCCGCGUGUAUGAAGAAGGCCUUCGGGUUGUAAAGUACUUUCAGCGGGGAGGCGUUACCCGCAGAAGAAGCACCGGCUAACUCCGUGCCAGCAGCCGCGGUAAUAC